UUGAACUCUAUUCCGCGGCCUCCACCGUCCCCACUGACAGCACAACCAUUGAACUCCUCGUCUCCUCCGUCCUUGUAGGCGAGCAGCGACGUGUUGGCAGGCGACGCCCGCGGCCGGCUUCCAGCGCUCUCCGGCCGGCUUCCAGCGGCGUUCCUCGGCCGGCUUCUAGCGGCGCGGGGUGGGAUCCAGCGGCUCGUUGGCCGGCGGCGCGGGGUGGGAUCCAGCGGCUCGUUGGCCGGCGGCGCGGGGUGGGAUCCAGCGGCCGCCACGGGCGGCGCGGCGAGGAGAUGGCCGGCUUCGACAGCGAACAGCCGCGCGGCCGAAACGGCCGCUGGUGCCGCACAAGCGCCCACGCUAAGGCUCGGGAGGCCAAAAACAAGUACAAUAUGGCUAUGCAGCAACUCAAUGAAGCCCAGGAAGCGAACAAGCAAAUGGCCAUUAAGCUUGCUUGUGCCGAAUCGAAGGCAGCUCAGUUGGAAGCCUCCCUCAGAAAAGAAGAAGCAACAGUAGCCAAGCUAAAAGCAGAGAAGCAAGUGCUUAUUGCAGAAAUUGAUCUCGCGGAAGAAGAGAAAGCAGGACUUCAAGUUCAACUCGAAGAAGCGGAAGAAAAAAAAGAAGUACUUAGAAAUGCACUGAUAGAUGCGAAAUUGGAGUUAGCUAAAAAGUAGGAUUAGCAUCCUUUUGGUUUGUGCAACUGAUGGAUGGUUGGAUGCUGAAUAUUAAGUAGGUUAUGCAUCCUUUUUGUUUGUGCAACUGAUGGAUGGUUGGAUGCUGAAUAAUCAGUAGGUUAUGCAUCCUUUUGGUUUGUGAGAUGUCUUGUAAUUGUGCAACCUGAUAAAAUGAACCAGUAGGUUGUGCAUCCUUUUAGUUUGUGAAUGUCUUGUAAUUGUGCAACCUGAUCAAAUGAACCUGUAGUGUGGAACCAGAUGAAAUGGUCUUUUGGUUUGUGAGA